rnacentral:misc_RNA from 1 species
UUUCCGUAGGUGAACCUGCGGAAGGAUCAUUGACAAAUCUAUAAAAAUAUGGCAUUGGUUUCUGGGUAAAACUUGAACCUAAUGUUAAUAUUAACCCGGAGCCGGUUUGGCUCGGGCAACUUUCAAGGUCUGGGAAUUCGUUCCUUGAUCCUUUGAAAGUUGUCAAAUUGAGCUACUGAAGUGAAAUAUAUUCAGUAGCACAUAAAAUCGAUUGUAUUUGUUUGACAGUGUAUUAUUUGAUUUUCGGAUCAAGUACUAUUAAAAAAAUAUAUACAACUUUUAACAAUGGAUCUCUUGGCUCUU